rnacentral:ribozyme from 12 species
AGAAUGAAAUAUGGAUACAACGUAGUGAAUAAGUAGAUAUGUGAUUGUUUCUUCCUAUUUCCAUUUCUCUCACUUCUAUUAUUUCAUUUAUUUUCCUCCACA